AAUUUUGGACAAUGGGGGAAACCCUGAUCCGGCCAUCCCGCGUGUAUGAUGAAGGCCUUCGGGUUGUAAACUGCUUUUGUACGGGAGGAAAAGCUUUGGGUUAAUACGCUGGAGUCAUGACGGUAGCUUCAGAAUAAGCACCGGCUAACUACGUGCCAGCAGCCGCGGUAAUACGUAGGGUGCAAGCGUUAAUCGGAAUUACUGGGCGUAAAGCGUGCGCAGGCGGUUUGGUAAGACAGAGGUGAAAUCCCAGGGCUCAACCUGGGAACUGCAUUUGUGACUGCCAGGCUAGAGUACGGCAGAGGGGGGUAGAAUUCCACGUGUAGCAGUGAAAUGCGUAGAUAUGCGGAGGAACACCGAUGGCGAAGGCAACCCCCUGGGCUUGUACUGACGCUCAUGCACGAAAGCGUGGGGAGCAAACAG
rnacentral:rRNA from 1 species